rnacentral:lncRNA from 1 species
CGGAAGUGCACACCAGCCUGCCCUCCGCUCCAGACUUCCAGAACCUCUCAGGUCCUUACGUAGUCUUCUGAUCAGAAAGAAAGGACAAGGAUUAUGAAAAGGGAGCUAUUUACAUUUCUUGUAACAAAGAUUAAAAUCCAUGGGUUGAAGGUUUAUACCCAGCCCCAGUGGUUAAAAGUGAGGGUCUGUAUAAGCAAUGCGUUUGAUAAGACAUGAUUCCUGGUGCCAAACUGUGGAAUGGGUAAUCUGUUAGCAGCGUUCAGAGGACAAAGACUAAAGACUAAAUGUUUUUGUUAGUGUGGGGGCAGUUCUGACGUUAGACUGGCACUAUUGUAUGUGAUUUUUAUCAGAAAGGUUCUAUGUUAAAUGUUACUGAAUUUGCAGUGAUUGACUUGAAUGCCAGUUUAUCUUUAAAUGCUAUUUGGAAUGAGAACGAAUAUUCUCUGACAAGUUACUUGCAAUGCAGGAACUGUGUCAUCCAGUCCAUUUCUCCAUGUCCUUUAAUAGGAGCUGAAGUUACUCUUCUCAAUAAUAAAGCACAGUCAUGGAAAGAAAUCUCAAUGAACUCCUAGCCUGUGAAAGAGCAACAUACAUUAAAAGAGGAAAAAGACCACAUCUGGCUUUUGAGAGUCAUUGUGAAAGCUGCCGGCAUUCAGUAGAGAGACACCUAAUCUCUUAAUGCAUGUCUUUGUUUCAAAGAGGGACUCAGGGGAAAAAAAAAUCCCCUCAUCUUCAAUAGACCUGUGAAACAUUUGUCAGAGCGGGCAUCUCUGCCUUGGAUCCAUAACAAACUGCACCUUGACCAGGUUAACGUGGCAGGUGACUCGAAUGUGAGAGUCAUCGGGGUGAGGAGGGAAGCUCUCCUUGUUUUUUGUGAAAAUAAUGUUACUUAUUUAGAAAGUUAAAAUGGCCUGAGGAUGAAUGGUGGUAGAGGUAACAAUAGCUUUAAUUUGAUCAUUUCCUUGCUUUAAAUCAAAUGGCUUAUAUUUUUGUAAUUGAGAGUAUGUGAGUGUAAACAAAGACUUGUGGAAUGAGUCAACRGAGGUGAAAAUGGUGAUUUAUUAUACGCUAUCAUAUGCCAGAGCAAAUGCAUGUGCAUUAGUGUGAAGAGGCUGUGAUUAAGUCUGUUUUAGCUCCCACUUGUAUAUCCUUGAAUACAAGAUCCUGCUGUUGUUGAGCGAUAUAUUUGUGGAGAUAAAAUCAACAUUGUAGUUUACACUGCAGCCUACGCUAUGUUAAAUCAUGUACGUUGUCAUGAGGUAUCAGAUGUCAUCUGAAAUUACUUCAUGUCAUGUGCUCUCUAAAUCGAGAACAGUUGGUUCUGGAAGGCAAGAAAUUGUUCAUUUAAUAAAAAUCAUAUUGCUGUAGCA